CACGUAGGCACCAAGCGUUGUCCGGAUUUAUUGGGCGUAAAGAGCUCGUAGGCGGUUCGGUAAGUCGGAUGUGAAAACUUUGGGCUCAACCCAAAGCGUGCAUUCGAUACUGCCGUGACUAGAGUUCGGUAGGGGAGUGGGGAAUUCCUAGUGUAGCGGUGAAAUGCGCAGAUAUUAGGAGGAACACCGGUGGCGAAGGCGCCACUCUGGGCCGAAACUGACGCUGAGGAGCGAAAGCGUGGGUAGCAAACAGG
rnacentral:rRNA from 1 species